UACGGAGGGUGCGAGCGUUGUCCGGAAUCACUGGGCGUAAAGGGCGCGUAGGCGGCCUGAUAAGUAGGGGGUGAAAUCCUGAGGCUUAACCUCAGGGCUGCCUUCUAAACUGUCAGGCUCGAGCACAGUAGAGGCAGGUGGAAUUCCCGGUGUAGCGGUGGAAUGCGCAGAUAUCAGGAGGAACACCAAUAGCGAAGGCAGCUCGCUGGGACGGUAUUGACGCUAAGGCGCGAAAGCGUGGGGAGCAAACAGG
rnacentral:rRNA from 1 species